rnacentral:lncRNA from 1 species
UCCCAUAAGUCUUCGACUCCCUCCAGAUCAUUUGAUUUGGCAUUUUAGCAAUAUGGGCAUCACACGGUUAAAUCGGCAUACAAGUUGGCCUGUCAAAUGCUAAGGUAGGAAUGGAACGAGAAUCAGAGGCUGUCUGUCGUAGGGAUAGGAUAGAGUUCCAUACUUUCCACGAAGAAAAGCAGAUAGCCACUCGCUCUUUAGGGUAAUCAUUACAAUUUCGUCCCGCCACCAACACUUACACACAGCUUAAAAUAGAGCAUCAUGUGUAAGUGUCCAGAGCGUUUUACUAACCUAAUGAUCUCCUGCGCAAGCAGAUGAGCUCCGAUACAAUGUUCUUUAGUUAGACCAUCCGUGACCAGUAGGAUUACUUUAUUCAAUCAAGAAAGGCUGUCUUUCGGUCGUCUACGUUAACUGAUAGCUGCUUGUUUUGUUCUAUUACCUAAGGCCUUCUUCAUUCGCUUGGAAUAGCAUCCGGAUCUGUGACAAAGAGAAUGACGGCUAAACCUCCUUGAUUCCUUGAAGAAGGUAUCAGUCUAUCCUAUUGAGACUACCGGGAAGAAGGGUCGAGUGUUCAAGUCUGAUCCUCUUGUAUUGAAUACAGUCUCCCUCAAGGGGGAAUAAGCACUUUCGGAACCGUCAUAAAAUGGAAGCGCCGUUAAAGCCUUAACUUAGAUAGGCAGCGAUAGAGGGGGAGGGAAUAAAAUAGCGCAAGCAGAUGAGCUCUUAUACAAUGUUCUUUAGUUAGACCAUCCGUGACCAGUAGGAUUACUUUAUUCAAUCAAGAAAGGCUGUCUUUCGGUCGUCUACGUUAACUGAUAGCUGCUUGUUUUGUUCUAUUACCUAAGGCCUUCUUCAUUCGCUUGGAAUAGCAUCCGGAUCUGUGACAAAGAGAAUGACGGCUAAACCUUCGGAUUGUGACAAAGAGAAUGACAGCUAAACCUCCUUGAUUAGUUGAAGAAGGUAUCAGUCUAUCCUAUUGAGACUAUCGAGAAGAAGGGUCGAGUGUUCACGUUUGAUCCUCUUGUAUUGAAUACAGUCUCCCUCAAGGGGGAAUAAGCACUUUCGGAACCAUCAUAAAAUGGAAGCGUCGUUAAAGCCUUAACUUAGAUAGGCAGCGAUAGAGGGGGAGGGAAUAAAAUAGAGCAUGGCUCCGUCGUUAUUCGGGCGCUUAA